GACGAACGCUGGCGGCGUGCCUAACACAUGCAAGUCGAGCGCUGAAGUCUGGUUCUUUUACCAACUGGAUGAGCAGCGAACGGGUGAGUAACGUGUGGUGAAUCUGCCUUUGAGCGGGGGACAACAUUUGGAAACGAAUGCUAAUACCGCAUAAAAACUUUAAACACAAGUUUUAAGUUUGAAAGAUGCAAUUGCAUCACUCAAAGAUGAUCCCGCGUUGUUUUUGAUAGGUGGUGCGGUCAAGGCUCACGAAGGCGGUGAUACGUAGUCGACCUGAGAGGGUGAUCGGCCACAUUGGGACGGGGACAGGGCCCAAACUCUUACGGGAGGGAGCCGUAGGGAAUCUUCAGGAAUGGCAGAAAGUCUGACCGAACAACGCCGCGUGAGUGACGAACGUUGUCGGGUCGUGAAACUCAGAUAGUAGGGAAGAACGUAAGUGAGUGUGGAAAGCUCAGCAAGUGACGGUAACUGGCCAAGAAGCGACGGCUAACUACGUG
rnacentral:rRNA from 1 species